AAUGAACGUUGGCGGCGUGGAUUAGGCAUGCAAGUCGAGCGAGAAGCUUAAGAAUGAUCUUUCGAGUGAAUUCUUAAGUGGACAGCGGCGAAAGGGAGAGUAACGAGUAGAUUACGUACCCAGGGGUUUGGGAUAGCGGGGGAAACCGCCGGUAAUACCAAAUAACGUCUCCGGACCAAAGAUUUAUCGCCCUUGGAGCGGUCUGCUUACUAUUAGUUAGUUGGUGGGGUAACAGCCUACCAAGGCAAAGAUGGUUAGCGGGUGUGAGAGCAUGACCCGUCUCACUGGGACUGAGACACUGCCCAGACACCUACGGGUGGCUGCAGUCGAGAAUCUUCCGCAAUGGACGAAAGUCUGACGGAGCGACGCCGCGUGCGGGAUGAAGGCCUUCGGGUUGUAAACCGCUGUCAGAGGGGAGCAAAUUUUGAGCAAUCCUCAGAGGAAGCACAGGCUAAGUUCGUG
rnacentral:rRNA from 1 species